rnacentral:rRNA from 1 species
AGCGAACGCUGGCGGCAGGCCUAACACAUGCAAGUCGAACGAACCUUUCGGGGUUAGUGGCGGACGGGUGAGUAACACGUGGGAACGUGCCUUUAGGUUCGGAAUAACUCAGGGAAACUUGUGCUAAUACCGAAUGUGCCCUUCGGGGGAAAGAUUUAUCGCCUUUAGAGCGGCCCGCGUCUGAUUAGCUAGUUGGUUGAGGUAAUGGCUCACCAAGGCGACGAUCAGUAGCUGGUCUGAGAGGAUGAUCAGCCACAUUGGGACUGAGACACGGCCCAAACUCCUACGGGAGGCAGCAGUGGGGAAUCUUGCGCAAUGGGCGAAAGCCUGACGCAGCCAUGCCGCGUGAAUGAUGAAGGUCUUAGGAUUGUAAAAUUCUUUCACCGGGGACGAUAAUGACGGUACCCGGAGAAGAAGCCCCGGCUAACUUCGUGCCAGCAGCCGCCGCAG